CAAUCACCUGAAAACUUGAUUAAAAUUUAAGCGCCCUCAAUUAAAAAUGGGGUAACUGCACAUUAAUUUUUCCCAAGUAAAAUGAUAUUAUAAAGACAAUUUUUCGUUUGAUCAUGGAAGCCAUCUCUUUCCCACCACAACAGCAGAGUCAACAUCCCACGAAUUCCCAGAAAGGCUGUAAGAGUGAGAAUGCAGCCCCCCUUCUCUUGCCUCCACCCUUAUUUUUCCCUUCCUCUCGUCCUAUGUUGUAUAUAAUAAAUUGUACUCCUCCUCCCCCUCAACACUCACCUCAUCCUCUUCGCUCGCUUUCUAUUUGGUCCUCAAUUUACCACCAAUACCAAUCCCCCCCCCCCGGCUUACCAUCUCUAUUCUAGACAUGACCAACGUGGUGGAAGUGAAAGUCGGUUUGCACUGUGACGACUGUAUCAAGAAAAUCCUCAAAGCCAUCAAGAAGAUCCAAGGUACGUGCUGGUCCAUCCUACUUCCCUCAGGAUCUAAAUUAAUUAUAACAGCUUCCUGCUUCCUUGUUGGUCACAAUAAUUCGAAUUCUUGGUUUAGCAGAUAUUGAGACCUAUAACGUGGACACGCAGCUAAACAAGGUCACCGUUACAGGAAACGUCACAACGGAACAAGUCAUUAGAGUUCUCCACAAGAUUGGAAAGAACGCCACCGCCUGGGACCAAUUCACGUCAAAUUGAACCCUCAACGAUCAACUCUCAGUUCUAUAUUACAAAUGACUCUGCAGGCGCGACAUGAUACAAUCAGUGAAAAAUCUGUAGUAGGCACUAGUAGUAUCUUUGAAGAGAUUAGAUGCACAUAAUCCUGCCAUCUUUCGCCUUCUUCAGCAGGAUACCGUUAUAAUAUUCAGUUUUUACCAACAUAAAAAGGAACUUGACUUCA